rnacentral:rRNA from 1 species
AGAGUUUGAUCCUGGCUCAGGAUGAACGCUGGCGGCGUGCCUAAUACAUGCAAGUCGAACGGAGCGAAUAUGGAAGCUUGCUUCCGUAAGAGCUCAGUGGCGAACGGGUGAGUAACACGUAGGUAACCUGCCCAUGUGCCCGGGAUAACUGCUGGAAACGGUAGCUAAAACCGGAUAGGUGAAUAGGAGGCAUCUCGUAUUCAUUAAAGGACCUGCAAAGGUGCGAACAUGGAUGGACCUGCGGCGCAUUAGCUGGUUGGAGUGGUAACGGCACACCAAGGCGACGAUGCGUAGCCGACCUGAGAGGGCGAACGGCCACAUUGGGACUGAGACACGGCCCAAACUCCUACGGGAGGCAGCAGUAGGGAAUUUUCGUCAAUGGGGGGAACCCUGAACGAGCAAUGCCGCGUGAGUGAAGAAGGUCUUCGGAUCGUAAAGCUCUGUUGUAAGUGAAGAACGGUCAGUAGAGGAAAUGAUACUGAAGUGACGGUAGCUUACCAGAAAGCCACGGCUAACUACGUGCCAGCAGCCGCGGUAAUACGUAGGUGGCGAGCGUUAUCCGGAAUCAUUGGGCGUAAAGGGUGCGCAGGUGGUACAUUAAGUCCGAAGUAAAAGGCAGCAGCUCAACUGCUGUUGGCUUUGGAAACUGGUGAACUGGAGUGCAGGAGAGGGCGAUGGAAUUCCAUGUGUAGCGGUAAAAUGCGUAGAUAUAUGGAGGAACACCAGUGGCGAAGGCGGUCGCCUGGCCUGCAACUGACACUGAGGCACGAAAGCGUGGGGAGCAAAUAGGAUUAGAUACCCUAGUAGUCCACGCCGUAAACGAUGAGAACUAAGUGUUGGGGAGACUCAGUGCUGCAGUUAACGCAAUAAGUUCUCCGCCUGGGGAGUAUGCACGCAAGUGUGAAACUCAAAGGAAUUGACGGGGGCCCGCACAAGCGGUGGAGUAUGUGGUUUAAUUCGAAGCAACGCGAAGAACCU